CCACAAACCUGGACGGGGUCGUUGGGUGAUCAAGAAUGCCCAUGGCCAAGGUCAAUGGCCUCCAUUGCACUUUGGUGGUGCGUUGGCCUUAGGACUGCUUGUUAUAGCAGUGCUACGUCAUAAUUUUUGGCAGCGGGGCCCCGCAUUCGUGUGGCCCUAAC